GGCAGAUACGUCAGAUGUCUCAAUGUUUGUUGUCCUGCACAAAAGGCGGAUGGACACAUUUGGUCUGGGGAAAUUGAUGAAUCAGCUGAAGUCCCCCAGCGGGAGACCAGAAACAUCAGCGGUUCAAAACAGGCCAGGUGACCUCCUUCAAACACACACCCAAACCAUUCUCAGGGCCUCUACUGUGAGCCUCAGACACACAUGAGAGACCCUGGGUCUCUCCGUGUGAUCUUUGUCAGUCAUCUUAAGGAUGUAUUGACUAUUGCCGAUGUUUCCGCUUACUCCUCUUUAGAAUGAAAGAGAGUUCACAAAGGCUACUGUGUCAUAAAGCAUAAGGGAACCGGGAGGUUGGGUGAUUCACCUGCUUGGAGAUGUUGGGACGGAAGACAAAAUGGCAACAAUUAGAAAAAAUGACUGUGUACCUACUCCGUUGAUUACUCCUCUUGAGAUCGAUAGAUACCUAUACGCAUAUA